GUAAAAUCAAGCCUUUCAUUUCAAAUAAACCUCUCCUCCCAAUUUCUAAAACCCUAAGUCCUGACAUCUGGAAAAACUUUUCUAUGAAAUCUCCAUCUUUUGUUUAAGAUCAUAGGAAGCAAGCGAUGAUGAAUGAGAAAACAGAGUUAUGGCAAAUCAUCCACAUUCCUGAUAAGCCUCCGAUCUCACCUGCCGAGCAACCCACCGUGAAUGCUUUUGCCUCGGUAAUUGAGCCAAAGCUUGCAAAUACUUUUAUAAGGCGUUUAAAUCAGAUAGCUCCACUUGAAAAUCUCCGCCAUGUGAAGCGUAUACAAAAGAGAAAUGAUGAAAAGGGGAAAAAUCAGCUGUCAGUUAUCUUGUGCCUAGCUUCUGAGACUGAGAAUGACAAGCAGUCAAACAACUUGCCUGAGAAUGUACAAGAGCUAAUCAACUCUUACCAGUUGAGUCCUUUUAUCACAAAAGUUUGUAAAUAUGCUGCAACAUCUAGAGAAGAGUGGGAAGAGCAAUGCAAACUUUGGCCAACAUCAUAUCAUCCACCUACUUACAAUAUUAAUGGCAUUACUGGAUUUGGUGAAGAGGACUCACAAUCAGUUUUCGACUUCAUGAAAGUGGCUGUUGACUUGGCAAAAUCUGGUGGUGGUUUGGUAACUAUUUAAUUUCUUCUAUAAACUAAAUUUACUUCUAUGAGGGAUGUAAGAUGGCUAGUUUAUGUUAAUUUAACUGCCAAUGUUGCCCAUGCUGGGGAAGUAUACUUAUGCUUACUUUAAAAGCUGUAUUCAGGUUGUCAACUGAAAGACAGCAUCUAGUAGUUUAUAAUACUCAAGUUAAGUUCGGGCAAGUUGGGUUUGACUGAUUUCAAUAGUCCAGCAUUAGAGUCCAUAAACAUUUUUUGUUGGAUUAAAAGCAGAAUCAUUCGCUUUUAUAUUUGUAAUGGGCUCUUUUUCAAGUUUUAGAUUUGCAGUAAAUUGCCAGCUAACAAUGCUAAAUUCAACAUACUUCUCCAUCAGAAACUAGUGGGGUUUACUAGCACCGUAAUUUCACUGAUUACUAGUUAUAGCAGAGCAUGCUCUUAGUACUCUUUAUUUAUGUCUGAACUUAAUAUUUUGCAUCUUUGCAGAUGGUCAAUGCUGCAGUUAUAGUGGAUCCUUCUGUUCAGCAGAUUAUUGCAACUGGACAUGAUCAAAUCUAUUCAUGGCAUAACAAGACUGGCACUGAAAAUAGCCACCUUAAAAAGCCAGCCUCCUUUGCUUCUAAUCUCAAUUCCAAUGGCGCAAGUCAUUUAACUGUGUUUCCUAACAAUUUGCAUAAUGGACCUGAAAGAUUAUAUGUUGGUGUUUCUUGUUUAAGUCCUUGGCAGUGGUGUGGGCAACAAUUGGAUAUGGAAACUUCUUGUUAUUUGCAUCCUUUACGACAUGCUGCCAUUGUUGCUAUUGAAUCUUCUGCUGAAAGGGAUAGGCGCCUAUUCCCUGGCUUGCUUCAUACUGAGAAGUCCUUUGAAGUGGAAUCUAUGCAGUCUUCUUGUGCAGGUUCUCCAGCAAAAAGACAGAAGACGAACCUUGCAAAUGUUGAGGAUGGGAAGGAAUUGGAUGCUCAUUCUGAAGCUGCAUCAGUGAGGCCUUAUCUUUGCACUGGUUAUGACAUCUACCUGGUAUGGGAGCCAUGUACGAUGUGUGCAAUGGCACUUGUGCAUCAAAGAAUUAGGCGUAUAUUUUAUGCUUUCCCCAAUCCAAAUGCCGGUGCAUUAGGCAGUGUUCACAGACUACAGGGAGAGAAAAGCUUGAAUCAUCACUAUGCUGUUUUCAGGGUAGUUCUGCCCCGAGGUUCUUAAUAUGGCUGAAGUAGUUGCAAGGAAUGAUGAUGAUGACCAAAUUGCAACUUCUGUUUCUUAACAAGAGCAUCCUAAUAUCGAAUGUUUGACACUUUCCAUGAAGACAAUUGAGUGAUUUAUUUCCCCAUCUCGCCAAAUGCAAGCAUUUUUGUCAACAAAUAGCUGGGGUUACAGAAAUGUAUCUUUUUGCGGGGAGUUGGGUGAUGUUACUGUUUUGAAAGCAAUGUUGAUUCUGGUUACAUUCUGAUAUUAUUAGGAAUGUAAACUGUGGAAAGGAUUUCAUGCUAAUUCCCAUCACCCCAAACAAGCAUACGAGAGUUUAGGUUUUUGAUAAUUUUUUACAGAUCAGGUAUCGCCAUCUUGCCAUACCAGCCCUCUUCAUUUUAUUUAAUUUUUAUGGACCUGACUUUACAGUGGUGGAGUUAUUUACAGUGAAAUUUUUUGUAUCUGCCAUUUAGGGUAAAAGGGACAAUUUAAAAAAAAAACAAUUAU
rnacentral:misc_RNA from 1 species